rnacentral:misc_RNA from 1 species
GAUGAAUAACGCAGCGAAAUGCGAUAAGUAAUGCGAAUUGCAGAAUCCGUGAGUCAUCGAAUCUUUGAACGCACAUUGCGCCCGCUAGUAUUCUGGCGGGCAUGCCUGUCCGAGCGUCAUUUCAACCCUCAAGCCCCCGGGCUUGGUGUUGGGGAUCGGCGAGCCUCCGCGCCCGCCGUCCCCUAAAUCUAGUGGCGGUCUCGCUGUAGCUUCCUCUGCGUAGUAGCACACCUCGCACUGGGAAACAGCGCGGCCACGCCGUUAAACCCCCAACUUCUGAACGUUUGACCUCGGAUCAGGUAGGAAUACCCGCUGAACUUAAGCAUAUCAAUAAGCGGAGGA